rnacentral:rRNA from 1 species
GACGAACGCUGGCGGCGUGCUUAACACAUGCAAGUCGAACGGAAAGGCCCUGCUCUUGUGGGGUGCUCGAGUGGCGAACGGGUGAGUAACACGUGAGUAACCUGCCCUUGACUUUGGGAUAACUUCAGGAAACUGGGGCUAAUACCGGAUAGGAGCUCCUGCUGCAUGGUGGGGGUUGGAAAGUUUCGGCGGUUGGGGAUGGACUGGCGGCUUAUCAGCUUGUUUGUGGGGUAGUGGCUUACCAAGGCUUUGACGGGUAGCCGGCCUGAGAGGGUGACCGGGCACAUGGGGACUGAGAGAGGGCCCAGACUCCUACGGGAGGCAGCAGUGGGGAAUAUUGCACAAUGGGCGGAAGUCUGAUGCAGCAACGCCGCGUGCGGGAUGACGGCCUUCGGGUGGUAAACCGCUUUCGCCUGUGACGAAGCGGGAGUGACGGUAAUGGGUAAAGAAGCACCGGCUAACUACGUG